AUUUUACCAGAAAGAUUGUUAGUACAAAGCCCUCUUGGUCCUGGCAGGCAAGGUUGGAGAAUUGGAGAGAGGCAGAGCGGUGAGAGAGCAGAUGUGUUCUGACCCUCCCAAAGUUAGCUGCUCUGCACCAAUUCCGCCUUGGCAUGGCUCUCACUGUUAUGGUGGCAUGUGUUUUGUGCUCUCUCCACAGUGUCUCACUCCUUGGACCGCAAGGGUGGCCCUCUUGUGGAAGAAAUGUGCCCGCAUGCUUCACUGUGGGGUCAGGGCAGCUUGAUUCCCCUCCAGAGAAGUUGUCUUGUGGGGAAGAUGUUCCUGGGAGCCUGUGAGGAUAAAGAGGGCACCUGCUGGGAUUUCUAGAUUUGUGAGUCCUAGAACCAACAACUAUACCAAGAACAUGUGUAUUGUGAUGUGAAUAAACACUUUCUCAAGAAGAAAAUGCACUCACAAGACUGGCAAAAAAUGACCUUCUACAGGAGUCUUUUCUGAUAAUGACUAACAGCAUAGGAUACAUUAAAGGAAACUCCUCAGACAAAGAUCUUAUCAGCACUUAUAUAGAAGCUGUACUCUGAAGGUAUGUGCAUUACUAACUUUUCAAUUACUGCUAAAAACGUGCAAAAAUAUUUAUUAAAAGAUAAAAACAUUUAUUUGUGUGUAUAGCUCCAGAUAGAGUUCAUGAUGGCAUAGAUAUGGCAACAGAAAUGCACAAGAGACAGAGAGCACAUAGGAAAUAACAUGAAUAUUUUGAAAACUCAAAGGGUGCUGUCAACGCCACACACCCUAACAAGGAGUGGCUAGUUCUUUCACAAUAGCUUCACCACCUGGAGAACAAGUAUUUACAAAUAUGAAUCUAGGGAAACUAUUCUCAUUCAAACUACACAUUACAGUCCUUUGUCUACAUAUAGGUUCACUUUUAUAUCAGGAUCAAAAUGCAUUUAAUUCAAAUUCUUGACACCACUUUAAAUGCCAAAGUCUUUUCUGAAACUCAAGGCAAUCUUUUAAUUCCAAUCUUCUAUAAACGGAAGAGCACUUUAUUUACUUAUAACAUUCACCAUCAUAGAAUAUACAUUAUCCAAAAGGGAUAAAUCAGAGCAAAAUGAGAAAUACUAAAUCAAUACAAAAAUAACUGAACUGGACAAACUCCAAAUCCUGUAGCUCCAUGUCUGACAUCAGAGGCUUAGAUG